ACCUAUAUAGUAUAAAAAGUAUAUUUGACUUCCAAUCAUAAGGUCUAUAAAUUAUAGCAUAG
rnacentral:tRNA from 1 species